CUCAGCAGGGCUGCAGGUGCAGAUGCCUUUUGUUUUUCCGUUAAGGAGGGUGAAGGUGGUGGGGAAGAAGAGGGAGAGAGUGCUGGAUUCCCACUCAGAGACUCAUCUUGCACAGGGAACCGCAAUGGAUGCUGGGUGGGAGAUGGUCCUGGGACCGUUUCUUCAUGAGGGAGAUAAAUGUCCCUGUCAUUAGUUGUUAGGAUCGUAGCCAGUUGUUACUUGUUGCUAGUUGUUGUUGCUGUAGGUAAUGAAUUUAGGAGGGACUCUCAGAUGCUUGGGGCUGGACCUCCAAAUGGAAAGCCACCUCAGUCCAGGCCUUCAUUCAGGAAUUUUUUUCACUUUUUUUUUCUUUUUCUUUUUUGAGACAGAGUCUCACUUUGUUGCCCAGGCUGGAGUGCAGUGGCGCUAUCUCAGCUCACUGCAACCUCCACCUCCGGGGUUCAAGCGAUUCUCCU
rnacentral:lncRNA from 10 species